rnacentral:tRNA from 1 species
GGUUGUGGCUUAGUGGCAGAGCACUUGCCUCACAUGUGUGAGGCACUGGGUUCCAACCUCAGCACCA